rnacentral:misc_RNA from 1 species
GAUAAUUUGUUCUGGAUGAAUAAGGUACAUGAAUCUAACCUAAAUUUUUAUUGUUUUAGAGCUUCAUGCAUGUUUAACUUUCACAAUGUUAUUAAUUAUUAUGCCAAUCAGGGUAAGAUCUGCAUCACAUUUAUAGACUCAUAUUCAAGCUUAGACUAUCUAUAGUAACAUUAACAAUACCUGUGUUAUUGUGACUUGAUC